rnacentral:rRNA from 1 species
GAUGAACGCUGGCGGCGUGCCUAAUACAUGCAAGUCGAGCGAACGGACGAGAAGCUUGCUUCUCUGAUGUUAGCGGCGGACGGGUGAGUAACACGUGGAUAACCUACCUAUAAGACUGGGAUAACUUCGGGAAACCGGAGCUAAUACCGGAUGAUAUUUUGAACCGCAUGGUUCAAAAGUGAAAGACGGUCUUGCUGUCACUUAUAGAUGGAUCCGCGCUGCAUUAGCUAGUUGGUAAGGUAACGGCUUACCAAGGCAACGAUGCAUAGCCGACCUGAGAGAGUGAUCUGCCACACUGGAGCUGAGACACGGUCCAGACUCCUACGGGAGGCAGCAGUAGGGAAUCGUGCGAACUGGGCGAAAGCCUGACGGAGCAACGGCGCGUGGGUGAUGAAGGUCUUCGGAGUGUAAAACUCUGUUAUUAGGGAAGAACAUAUGUGUAAGGAAAGGUGCACAUCUUGACGGUACCUAAUCAGAAAGCCACGGCUAACUACGUG